UACGUAGGGUGCAAGCGUUUGUCCGGAAUUAUUGGGCGUAAAGAGCUCGUAGGCGGUUUGUCGCGUCUGCUGUGAAAACUCGGGGCUUAACCCCGGGCCUGCAGGUGGUACGGGCAGACUAGAGUGCGGUAGGGGAGACUGGAAUUCCUGGUGUAGCGGUGAAAUGCGCAGAUAUCAGGAGGAACACCGGUGGCGAAGGCGGGUCUCUGGGCCGUAACUGACGCUGAGGAGCGAAAGCGUGGGGAGCGAACAGG
rnacentral:rRNA from 1 species